rnacentral:rRNA from 1 species
CCUACGGGAGGCAGCAGUGAGGAAUAUUGGUCAAUGGGCGGAAGCCUGAACCAGCCAAGUCGCGUGAGGGAAUAAGGCCCUACGGGUCGUAAACCUCUUUUGCCGGGGCGCAAGGGCCGGGACGCGUCCCGGCCCGGAGAGUACCCGGAGAAAAAGCAUCGGCUAACUCCGUGCCAGCCGCCGCGGGAAUCCGGAGGAUGCGAGCUUUAGACGGAUUUAUUGGGUUAAAAGGGUGCGUAGGCGGGCUUUUAAGUCAGCGGUAAAAGUUCGGGGCUCAACCCCGUCCGGCCGUUGAAACUGGGGGCGUUGAGGGGGCGAGAAGAAGGCGGAAUGCGUGGUGUAGCGGUGAAAUGCAUAGAUAUCACGCAGAACCCCGAUUGCGAAGGCAGCCUUCCGGCGCCCUACUGACGCUGAGGCACGAAAGUGCGGGGAUCGAACAGGAUUAGAUACCCGAGUAGUC